AUAAUAAAUAGUAGAAGCAGGAUCAAAGAACUUUUCGAACUAUUAACGUUCGUCAAUACGCAUUUGUCAUAGACAUAAUUUAUUCUGAAUGGCCACAUUUAAAAAAGUUCGGCUUAGUAGAAAUCGUACCGUUUCUCACCACCCGGACAACGAAUAAAUAAUGAGGCCAAUGGUAAACAUAAAGAACUCUUUCGAUUAUUUCACUUAAUGAAAACGAAAAUCAGACGACACGGGAACAUAAUUUGACGAUAAAUUUACGAUUUUCGAUUUCAAUUAGGCCGGUUCGUGAUUUGUGGGAUUUGCAGUGAGAUGCUAUUUCUAAACCGUAUUAAUAUUAGAGGCGAAAUACAUAAUUGGACUAUAAAGCGAACUGUUGGUGACGCAGAAUAUUUUAAUUAAUAUCUAUAAACUAACUUUUGGUUUGUUUAUUGUCAACGUUCAGAAGAAGAACGCUGCAAUGGACUUAUUGGAAUAUAACCCAAGGAAGACCCUUCAAGUCAGGUUUCAUUUUCGAAGUGUGCAUCAGGAAGGAAGCCGUGGGAUCUUUGAUAACGUGAUGCUUUAUCAACGGAGUUAUUACACUAAUGAGAUUAUCUAAAAACCGACAGAGUACUACUAUAAAUUACGAUUCAAAUCCAGUUUCUGAUGUAAUCUAUGAAGAAUUUGAUUUAUAUACAUUUUAAUUUAAAACUAAAUACAUUUUAAUGCGUUUAGUGUAAUGUUACUGAAUUGGUUUGAUAUAUUAGAAGCAGGUAUUGGAUGCGUAUAUUAUUUAUUAUACUGGAGCAUGGAAGAUUA